AUGAUGGACUAUAGGACAGGACUGCUGCUGUUAACUGUCUGCUGGGCAGGUGUUGAUGGUCAGACUCUGACAGAAUCUGAACCAGUGGUUAAAAGGCCUGGAGAAUCUCACAGAUUGACCUGUACAGCCUCUGGAUUCACAUUCAGUGACUACGCUAUGGCCUGGAUCAGACAGGCUCCUGGAAAAGGACUGGAGUGGGUUGCUUCCAUUCUGAGUGAUGAUAUAGCUUCUAUACUUACUGACAUUUCUCCGACUGAUUACUCCCAGUCAGUCAAGGGUAGAUUCACCAUCUCCAGAGAUGACUCCAGCAGUAAAGUCUACCUACAGAUGAACAGUCUGAAGACUGAGGACACAGCAGUGUAUUACUGUGCCAGAGACACACAGUGAGAGUCAAUAACAGGAGAGUCAUACAAAAACUACUUCCUCUAUCUUGCACCACUGGAAACAUUCACUUGUCUCAGUUUAAAUUAUUCUACAUGACAGUCAUGAGUUGCGACUGAAAAAUAAAUGUUAACUUUAUA